rnacentral:rRNA from 1 species
AUUGAACGCUGGCGGCAGGCUUAACACAUGCAAGUCGAGCGGAGAUGAGGUGCUUGCACCUUAUCUUAGCGGCGGACGGGUGAGUAAUGCUUAGGAAUCUGCCUAUUAGUGGGGGACAACAUUCCGAAAGGAAUGCUAAUACCGCAUACGUCCUACGGGAGAAAGCAGGGGAUCUUCAGACCUUGGGCUAAUAGAUGAGCCUAAGUCGGAUUAGCUAGUUGGUGGGGUAAAGGCCGACCAAGGCGACGAUCUGUAGCGGGUCUGAGAGGAUGAUCCGCAACACUGGGACUGAGACACGGCCCAGACUCCUACGGGAGGCAGCAGUGGGGAAUAUUGGACAAUGGGGGGAACCCUGAUCCAGCCAUGCCGCGUGUGUGAAGAAGGCCUUAUGGUUGUAAAGCACUUUAAGCGAGGAGGAGGCUACUGAGACUAAUACUCUUGGAUAGUGGACGUUACUCGCAGAAUAAGCACCGGCUAACUCUGUGCCAGCCGCCGCCGUAACAC